UACAGAGGUCUCAAGCGUUGUUCGGAUUCAUUGGGCGUAAAGGGCGCGUAGGCGGCGAGGUAAGUCGGGUGUGAAAUCUCAGAGCUCAACUCUGAAACUGCACUCGAUACUGCUUUGCUAGAGGACUGGAGAGGAGAUUGGAAUUCACGGUGUAGCAGUGAAAUGCGUAGAGAUCGUGAGGAAGACCAGUGGCGAAGGCGGCAUCCUGGACCGGUAUUGACGCUGAGGAGCGAAAGCCAGGGGAGCAAACGGG
rnacentral:rRNA from 1 species